UCUGUGGUGUGGUUGUGAUCAUUUUGUUAUUUUCUUUUCUUUAAAUUUAAAUAAACAGAAACACAUAGGACAAACAUAAAUCAAAAAUUAAAUUAAACAAUAAAUCGUACCGUUACUGUAAAAAUGUCUUUCGAUGCGAGCUGGGAUGUGGAUAAAUACCGUGAUGAGCAUGAAAGUGAAGAACAUUGGUUAUUAAGAAAAGCGUUUAUGGAACGAUGGAAAACCGAUUAUUCUGAAGAGAGAUUGGUCUGUUUGGCUCGUGUGUUCUUCAAUAUCGAGUUUAUGGGGUGCAGAUAUCCUACAGAGAUCAUGCAGGAGGUGGCUAGGCUAUCACACGAUGUUGCACAACAAUACAGAAAGCUCAAGAAAACUAAACUGCAAAGGACUUUUGUAUCAGCUUCUGAUGCAGCAGAGGACAGGGCGAAGGGUGUAAAACGAUGUGGCGGUGUCAUAGUAGACAGUCCUGCCCCAAAGUCAACAAGAAUAAACUUUGUGCCCCAAGGGCAUUGUGAAACAAAUGAAUCUACCAUAAACAUAUCAGAUGAUGAACAAAAUGAAAGCUAUGAUAAACAAUUGAGAAAUUCAAAAGCGGAAACACUUUUAACUAGAGAUAUAAUUCCCGCACAUAAUAUUAACUUAAACAAACACAAUGAUAGUGCAAAUAUAAAUAACGACAUACCAAAUGCACAUAAUGAGAAUGCAAUACCACAAAGUGCUGAUAGAAAUGAAUAUUUCAAAGAUUUAGAAAGCUUAAAAUGUUUAAACAUACAAUGUUUUAAUGAUAACAUGUUCAACUCUGCGUAUGGAAGGAUGGUGUUGCUGAUAAGGCCGUGGAGUUCUAAAUUAGGAAAUAUACAGAGCAGCAGUCAAGUGUGUCACAUACCUCUAGUAACGACGUACGAGGACGGCUGCCUGUCCCUGAUGCUGAACGGGCGGCUGGUGGCGCGCGCGGCCGGCGCGAGCAAAGCCGAGGCUCGCAGCAUGGUUGAGAAUAUCGCGUGGAAUAGGUUAAAAGAAGAGUUAGUCAGUGUCCUCAUCAAAGAACAAUGGAUAGCACAAGGUGACAGGAUAUCUGUUAAUGAUGUGUCAGGUAAUAAGUCAGAGUUCGGUACGCCAGUGGACAACAGUGUUGCUACCAAAAUGAUGAAACUAAUGGGAUGGAAAGGCGGCGGGUUGGGCGUCGACGCUCAGGGGAUAGCUGAACCUAUCAAACCGCAUCUACAAAUGGUGAACCGCGCCGGGCUCGGCAGCAACACGUCGGACAUCCGGCAGCUGCGGCGCGCCGGCUUCGAGCUGAUGCGGCGCUUCGUGGCGGCCGACACCGUGGACGUGGACCUGGUGUUCAGCGCGGACUUCAGCAAGGAGGAGCGCGCCGUCAUGCACCAGUGCGCGCAGCGCUCCGGCCUGGCCUCCAGGAGCUACGGCGCCGACGCCGACAGGUGAGCCCCGCCGGCUGCGAGCUGAUGCGGCGCUUCGUGGCGGCCGACACCGUGGACGUGGACCUGGUGUUCAGCGCGGACUUCAGCAAGGAGGAGCGCGCCGUCAUGCACCAGUGCGCGCAGCGCUCCGGCCUGGCCUCCAGGAGCUACGGCGCCGACGCCGACAGAUUCCUGGUAGUGAAAAAGAAGUUGGACCCAUUUUCAUUGGUCCACGCCGUUUUAGAAAAAGGCGGCAACACGUCGAAAUAUCAAGUCUUCUUACCUGUAGCUCUACAACAGAAGAGACAAUUUUAUUAAUGUUUUACUAGCAUUUUAGAACUUAUCAAACGAAAAAUAUGUUAAGUCUGAGUCAAACUUCUACUCCAAUAAUUGAAUACAAAGAAAAAAGUGUGUGAAUGGAGUUUACUCUUUCAGCAGGGCUAGCACGGGCAAGGGAGAAAUUUAUCCACGGGGAGAGGAUAAAACGUUUAUCCCCCACACUCGUUUUAUCCACUCACCGCGCAUGGGCACGCCGGUGGAUAUAAUAUCCCCGGUGGAUAAACGGAGGGAAAGACUUGUCAACCCAUUUGUAUAUAUCUUAUAAAUUGGCAUUAGGUAUAUUAAUAGUCCGAAAUAAACGUAAAUUUGAUAAUAUUUGGUUUUUUUUGUGCAUAUUAUUUAUCUGUUUUCUGUUGGCAUUGUUUUGUUUGGUGAUUGUUUUUUGCGGUGGUUUGUAGUAGGUAUCUAUAGUAUCUAUCAUACUAGCGGACCCGGUCAAGCUUCGUUUUGACAUAAGUGCACUUGUUCUCUAUCCCUACUCUACCCUUCUUUACCUCUACCCCUACCCUACCCCUGCCCUACCCCACCCCUACCCCGCCCCUAACCCCCCUCCCCCACCGCUACACCAACCCUACCCACCCCUACCCCUCCCCCCUCCCCCACCCCUACACCAACCCUACCCCCCCCCCCUACCUCCCCCCCCCUACCGGGUAUGACGGGUGGAUUUAUAUCCUUAGUCAGUGGAUAUAAUGGGUGGAUAAAAAUUUUAUCCCUUGCCCAUGCUAGCCCGGCAGAUCGACUCUCAAAAUAGGUGUAUGUUGCAGCAUACACUAUGUACGUCUCAAUACUUACGCCCGAAAGGUGCACAACCGAAGAGACGUGCGCGCCCGCCAACAGCGCACGGUGAAAGGUGCGCAGAAUAGGUUGCGCACAAAAAACGUAACGUUCAUCGAAUUUUACUGCCCAUAUUUUUUUCAUACCGGAGGCUACAUAUGUAAAAAAGGUUAUUAUUUUCAAAAGUUAAAGAAGUAUCUACUUCAUAUAUUUCAUGAAUAAAAUAUAUUUCUAAUA